CUUGCCCUAAGCCAAAGAUCAAAAGUUGACGCGAAGCUCUGUUUGUUGGUCGCCCUAAGGCGUUCUCGUGUUGUUGACGCCAAGCUUUGUUCGUUGGUGGCUGGUGUUUUGUGGUUUGCGUAGGUACGGUUUGUGGUGUUUCCGACAAGGUAGUGGGUCGUACUAGUUAGUGUAUGCGGUAGUGGUGGUGGGUCAUCGAGGUUGGCUUGACGACGGUGUUUGGGUGAAGUUGCCUUGUUAAGUUCGUAGGGGUCGUGGUUUGCAGAGGCUGGCAUCGUCGACCCUUUUGCUUUCGAGGAACUUAAGAACCUAAUGCCUCAACUAUAUUCUGCUGCAAAAUACUGUGAAAAGUCUUAUCUCCAUACUAAACAGAAACAAAUAAUUAAAGGAAGCAAAGAAUGCUAGCUAAAAACACUAAGGCAUUUAUUUAGGAGGAGGAAAGUGCAGAAAGGCUUGGAAAGAUCUCCAGCCUACUGCCACACACACAACAGCUGCUAGUGGAAGG